rnacentral:rRNA from 1 species
UGGGGAAUUUUGCACAAUGGGGGAAACCCUGAUGCAGCGACGCCGCGUGAUUUAGAAGGCCUUCGGGUUGUAAAAAUCUUUUCUAUGGGAAGAAAAUGACAGUACCAUAGGAAUAAGGACCGGCUAAUUACGUGCCAGCAGCCGCGGUAGUACGUAAGGUCCGAGCGUUGUCCGGAAUCAUUGGGCGUAAAGGGUACGUAGGCGGGUAAGCAAGUUAGAAGUGAAAUCCUAUAGCUCAACUAUAGUAAGCUUUUAAAACUGCUCAUCUUGAGGUAUGGAAGGGAAAGUGGAAUUCCUAGUGUAGCGGUGAAAUGCGCAGAUAUUAGGAGGAAUACCGGUGGCGAAGGCGACUUUCUGGCCAUAACCUGACGCUGAGGUACGAAAGCGUGGGUAGCAAACAGG